rnacentral:SRP_RNA from 1 species
CCGUGCUAGACGGGGAGCUAGCGGUGCCCUGUAACCCGAGAACCGCUUACGCGGGGUUGAAGUCCCUCCUUGAGGGUCGCAGCGCAGCCGGCGGGCGCUGACCAGGGCGGCGGGUUGGACCCUACGCAACAGACGCUUGUGAACCCCGUCAGGUCCGGAAGGAAGCAGCGGUAAACAAGGCGGUUUGUGUCGUGGCGGCUGCUAAUCCUUAAACCCCCUGGCCACCCCUCCGACUGAGGCGGACUCGAAGAAGGGUGCACGG